rnacentral:rRNA from 1 species
UACGUAGGGGGGCAAGCGUUGUCCGGAAUCAUUGGGCGUAAAGAGCUCGUAGGCGGUGUGUCACGUCGGCCGUGAAAACCUGGGGCUUAACUCUGGGCGUGCGGUCGAUACGGGCAUCACUAGAGUUCGGCAGGGGAGACUGGAAUUCCUGGUGUAGCGGUGAAAUGCGCAGAUAUCAGGAGGAACACCGGUGGCGAAGGCGGGUCUCUGGGCCGAUACUGACGCUGAGGAGCGAAAGCAUGGGUAGCGAACAGG